rnacentral:rRNA from 1 species
GAUGAACGCUGGCGGCGUGCCUAAUACAUGCAAGUCGAGCGAACAGAUCAGGAGCUUGCUCCUUUGACGUUAGCGGCGGACGGGUGAGUAACACGUGGGUAACUUACCUAUAAGACUGGAAUAACUCCGGGAAACCGGGGCUAAUGCCGGAUAACAUGUUGAACCGCAUGGUUCUACAGUGAAAGGCGGCUUUGCUGUCACUUAUAGAUGGACCCGCGCCGUAUUAGCUAGUUGGUGAGGUAACGGCUCACCAAGGCAACGAUACGUAGCCGACCUGAGAGGGUGAUCGGCCACACUGGAACUGAGACACGGUCCAGACUCCUACGGGAGGCAGCAGUAGGGAAUCUUCCGCAAUGGGCGGAAGCCUGACGGAGCAACGCCGCGUGAGUGAUGAAGGUCUUCGGAUCGUAAAACUCUGUUAUUAGGGAAGAACAAAUGCGUAAGUAACUGUGCGCGUCUUGACGGUACCUAAUCAGAAAGCCACGGCUAACUACGUG